rnacentral:sRNA from 1 species
GUCGCUGCAAAAUCAGCGACCGGGACUGGAAACCCGGAAGUGCAGGCGGACGUUAAUAACCGCCACAAUUCAUUUGUCUGGCGGUUUUUUG